AUUCAGACAGUGCCCAAACUGUACACAGGCCAAUGCAGGUUUCAGGAAUCCAGCUGGUCAAUGCAGGGUGGAGGGCACGAGGGGUGGGCGCCCGAGGAACCGUAGGAGACGUGGCACGGGGAGAGAGGGGAGGUCUGUUGGAAGACGCCCAGGGACUGGUCCGGCUCUCUCCUGGAAAGUGGGCACUUUGGGUAGCGGUGAUUCGGAGAGGUAUUGGGACCGUGGGGCGUGAACCGUGCCUUGUUGUCUUGAGUUCCCUCAGCUCCAGUCUCAGUGUGACUCAUACAGAGAAACAAUAUUGGCCGGGAGUCAGUUAUUCCAGGGAUGCAGUAAGAAGUAAAUAUGUGUUGUACAGAGUGGACACCAGAGCGCAUUAACUGGGGAGGAGCAAGUCCCAAGAGGAACAGUGAAAACAAGACUCUGGCUCCAACCACUUAGCAUCUCACACAGUGAAGGAGAAUGGUUGCCAUCCAGUUGGCCACCAGAGGGCGCUCUGGGCAAAAAGAUCUUGAGGCCGUUCUUCAGCUCUUCGACUUGAUCGCCUCGCAAACUCUGGAGUCAGUGCUGUUUCCCAGAGACAGCAGACGUAAGUGCCAUGCAGCUUGCCAGGCUCUCAGGGCAUGGGCGUUUACAGUCGGCUGGCAUUUCCCAUGGGGGAGCAGAGGCAAGAAAAUCGCCCAGUUGAUGGCCAGUUGUUUGUGGGAUGAAGGGUAAGACUGGAUAAGGCCUUGAGGUUAGGGCAAAGGUAUCAUGAGUCCUGAGCUGGUCUCUGCUUUCCUGACUUCUGGAAGUGUGACAUUAAGAAAAUCAUUCCUUCUCUGGGCCUGGUUUCCCUCUGUAAAAUGCUGGGCUCAAGUUCCAGCCUGUCCUGGGACGUCAUCAGCUCUUCCAACCCUUCUGGGCGGUGGCCAUGAAAUUUAGUCCACAUGGAAGCUUAGUUCCCUGCUUUCUGCCUCUGGGAGAGAACUGCAGUCAUGGAGACCGGUGCUUGCCACAGUAGGAGCUGCUAACGUCCUGGAUGGUCCCCAUACUCUUCCUGAGCUGCCCCAGGCACAACCAGAGGAGGAGACAUUCGCAAAAGCCAGCGCAGCCUGGGCCAUCAUUCAGAAUGCUUUGCAUUCCCUUCUCUGCACCUCCGUGGCAACCUCUGUCAUGAUGUGAAAAGAGCCAGCUUUCAAUCCCAACUGGACCACCAACCAGCUGUGAAAACCUGUGCACUUCAACUGCUAUGAACCUCAGUCUCAUUCUCUCUCCCUGCAUCAUGGAGUUGCUGUGAGGAAGAGUGAUAACGAACAUGGAGGACCAGCUUAGUAUCCAGCACAAAGUUCCUUGGUAAACAGGAGCCUCUGUAGCCUGGCCACCCUGUCUUAUGAUCACUGAUUCACAUGUCCUUCAUUCAACCUCCUGGAAGGCAGCAUCUGUGUCAUCUCUGCCUGUACCUCCAGCCCCUAGCCCAGGGCUUAAUGGCACAUAGGCACUCCAUUAACUCAUUACUCAGACAUUACUGAGGUGGAGAAAUAGAUACUGUGGUUACAGAGUGGCUCCGACAAGAUUUAGACUCUCAAGGAAGUUACAUUUGAGUAAGUGAGAUAAAAACACAGACAACCAAAGGCUGAGUUCUUAGAACUGAGUUGUAAUUUUUGGCUUUUCUUGACCUUUUAAUACGAUGGGCAAUGUUUCAGCUGGUGUCAAAAUAGUUGACCCAGGUGGGCAAAAAGUCAUUAAGUAUGAAAGCACUUCGAUUAAGGAAUAUUUUAUUUUCCAUGGGGUCUUUGAGAGCUUAGAGAAAAAUAGAAGCAAUGGUGAAAUAACAGCGAACAGACUCCUGCAAUUAAACGUGGUUUCACUUAAGUAUCACUUUCAGAUAGUGUCAAGUUAAAGCAUUUAAGAAGAUUGCUGAAAAAAGGAGGCUUCCUUCUUAAUCUAAGUGAGAUGCUGGCACGGGAGGCCUCCAAAGGGAAACUGCCAGAUGCUGUUUUAUGCACUCGGCGUGUUUGUGCCUAACAUCUCCUUAGCGGUUUUGAAUUCUACAUUGUCUGCAAAAUUGCCACUUCAUUAAAAUUGCCUCAGAAAUUCCCUUUUAAACGAUGCAGGUAGUCAAUUAGCAUCUGUCCUGCCUAGUUUGCAUUUGAGAAAUGCAGGAAUUAUUUUCAAGGAUACCUUUAUUUAAUCUUGAAUUUCCUGUGUUUUCAGGAAAAAUGCUGGUUAGUCAAGGACACCUGAGGGAUGACAUUUUAAAAUCAAUAUAUUUAAGGUUUCUCUUCGUUUAAACUGUUAGGAGCUAAAAAUUCCUAAAGUUUGAUGUUCUUGUUGCCAUAUAUAUGCCCUAAAUCCCCAACAUAAUUUUGCGUUAGUUUAGACAAUAGUCUCUUACCAUUUGAUGGUCAUUAGGAUUUGUGUAAGUGUGUAUUAUAAAGAUAGAGAGAUAGAGAUGGCAAGGUAGGGAAAAAUUUAGUUUAAUUUGUAAAUUAAAAAAGCAAUAUACAUACACAGAGAAUAUUCAGCCUGGAGUCAAACAAAUCAGUGUGGUUUGUUCCAGGCUGGGGUCAAGGCUUACUAUAGUUAAGCAUCUAAAGUUUAUUUCUUAGGAGAAAAUAAUGGUACAUUCAAAGACAGUGGUAGAAAGAGGAAAAUUUUCUUAGACGGCAGGAGCCAAGGUGAUAACAUUUGAUGGGUUGCAUGAACAAUAUUGGACAAGCCUGGUAAAAAUAGACAAAAUAUGUGGAAUUUGG
ensembl:lncRNA